rnacentral:misc_RNA from 1 species
UCCGGUUUGGCACCGGCAGUCUCCCAUGAGUCCCCGGCAUGACCCGCUGGCAACAUGGGAAAGGGGUUGCGCUCGUUGCGCCACUUAAGGCAACACCUCACGGCACGAGCUGACGACGACCAUGCAGCACCUGUGCGGGCUCCCGAAGGAGGACCUGCUUUCGCAGGCUUCACCCCGCAUGUCAAGCCCUGGUAAGGUUCUUCGCGUUGCGUCGAAUUAAGCCACAUGCUCCGCCGCUUGUGCGGGCCCCCGUCAAUUCCUUUGAGUUUUAACCUUGCGGUCGUACUCCCCAGGCGGGGUGCUUAAUGCGUUAGCGUCGGCACGGAAGGGGUUGAUGCCCCCCACACCUAGCACCCAACGUUUACGGCUGGGACUAC